GAAAAAGGGAGCAAACUUUACCCUAUUGAGCAAAGGAAAACUUCCAGAAAACUUCACUCACCCCACCCCUUCCAGUUGCCUGAUCAAGUUUCAAUGCCCCUUGCUUUUCUAUAUAAAGAAAGCCCUGGAGUCAGGCAUGUGAAGUUAAGAGUGCGUUUGUGAAUGGUUCUUCAAAAUCACUGUGUUCCUGCUACGUUUCUACAACCCAGCUUUAUUGUUCUCCAAGGACGUACGUAGAUUUGGUGGGAUCUGGUUGCCUGAAAAAAGUGAAAAGGUGUUCCAGGACACUGCACUGCGAGAUCAUAAAGGGUGCUCUGCAACAACAUAACAAUGACAACUGUGCCUUCAGCUGGCUGCCUUUUAGCCAAGAACCACUAUUACAGAACACGAUUGAAUUCUGAAUCCAGUGUUUCUUCAAGCAGUUCAUCUUCCUCUUCUGAUCCCAUGCCAUUCUCAGACCAGGAAAAAAAUCAUCAUGGUAUUGUACCUUUAUUAAAGUUUCUAGCUGUUGUCCAGAAAAAUCAUGAAAUAUAUUCCACUGUCUUCUAUUGUACACUUAAUCUCUAUAUGUUUUUAGUGAAAUUAAAGCUUGAUCUUUCUCCAAUAUUGCUGCUUCGUUAAAAGUAAUAGUUUUCUUUUUGCUUUGAAGCUUUAUUAUACAAUGGAUAUUUUGCAUCUUCCAUUUAUAGGCCUACCUGAAAUAUUUGAAAAGUGCUGGUGGAUAAAAAGCUUUUUUCAUAGUGAGCCAACACCUCCAAAUGUAGGCAGAAAAACCUUAUCAGCCAGCAGGUAAGAACUGUUUCCUGGAGUACACAAUUUAUUUGAAUUAAUUUAAAAUUUAGUCGCAAGCUAAUGUGCUACUUGAGGUUCAUUCUGAUGCUAAUUAUAACUGUAGUUUACAUAGAAAUGCUCAGCCCAGAAUAGAGCUUAAAAUAGAGCUUAAAUCUGCUUAUUCUGGACAAAGGUAGGCUUUGUGAUUAUUCCUUUUGCCAUGUGUCCUAAACAGCUGCAUUAGUUUCUCCUGAAAGCUUGGCAGUAAUUCUUUAUACUAAUCAUGAUCUUAAAUCAUAAUUUCUGUCUUGACAGUACUAACAGCUGAUUGGGAUAUCAAGUUGAAAGUUCCUGCUGGGACAUUAUAGACAGUCAUGUCUUGAAAUGAAUUCACUUCUGUGAAGAAAAUGAACUACUUGAGGAUUCAGUUGUAGAAGAAAUACAGAUUAUCAAGGAUUUAAUCAGAGCUUAUUCAACAAGCAACCAUCUUUACAGUGUCUGCUGCAAGAAUUCUUGAUAAUGAACAGGUGUCCUAUGUUUCAUAAUUUUUGUGUUUCACAAGAGAAAAUGCAAAUGCAAAGUGUAGUGGGAUAUGGUAUAUCUGAUGAUUUGGGAUAUCUUUUACUAAACUGAAAUGCUGUAGAUUUUUUGGGUCAAAAUCUUUUAAUGUUAACAUGCAUUUUAUACAAUGGUGCCUUUUUACUUAGCAAAAUAUACCACCUCUUUCCACAGAAUUUAAGUUUGGAAUGUUAACUAUAAUAAUCUUCUACUCAUGAAUAAUUUACUUAAAUGCCAAAUACAAAUUUCUCUUACUUGUCAACAGCUAGAAGAAAGCUGGUUAAGGCAUUAUUUAUGAUCCACAUUAAAAAACAAAAAUGGAAUAUACAUAGUAUUAAACUCCUUAUCUGAUUCUAAUUCUACUAUUUGCAUUGGAGCUUUAUUUCAUAGGUAUGUUACUAUUGUAUAUUACUGCUUUGACAUCAAAUAGUGUACAAUUUAUAUCAACUCUUCAAAUUAGAGAUAAUUUAAAAAACUCUGGAUUAAUUUUUAUUUUAUUUUUGAUGUAUACUAUUCUGUUUCAAAGCAUAGGAAAAAAACAGACCCAUGUUCUGCUUUGUAGGAGUUGUAAGUUUUAUUUACUUAUAAGGAAUAUAUAUUUGUAUCACAUGAGAAAAUCUGUGAGUGCUGAAUAUUCUAAAUUGAAUUAUUUAAUAUAUUGAUGAUGCUUCUAAUGUUCCUUUGUUAUCCUUUUAUUCUUCUGAUUAAUUAUACACAAUGUUCUGUAGUAUGAAUGAAUAGUAACAUCAAGUUUGAACAAUUUUGCUUUAUCAAAUUAUUACUUACCUGGAUGCAAUAUUGCUGACUGCAUACCUGGAUGCAUAAUGCUUUAAACACACACACACACACACACACACACACACACACACACACACACACACUGUAUACCCCUCUAGUGGAAAGAGAUUAAUAUAGCACAAUAAAAUAUAAACACGCAGUAAGUCUGUUCUUUAA
ensembl:lncRNA pancreatic progenitor cell differentiation and proliferation factor like